GUGCUUGCUUCAGCAGCGCAUAUACUAAAAUUGGAACGAUACAGAGAAAAUUAGCAUGGCCCCUGCGCAAGGAUUACAUGCAAAUUCGUGAAGCGUUCCAUGUUUUA
rnacentral:snRNA from 1 species